GGAUGCUUGGCCAAAAUGAAGGUAUAGAAAAGGAACAACCAAAGAAAGAACAGGACAUACUGGAUCUUUCUGGGUAUCAUCAAACUUCUCCAUCCAAGAAUAAGGGACAGCAGCAUCUCUUUGACAUCCAUAGCCCAUUUCUGCUUUGCCAAUAUCACUUGUGCAUCUGGGGCCACCAAUGCAUCCUAUCCUAGCAAGUAUCAAUGGGAAUAAAGAAGAAACUUAGAAAACGACAAAAUUCAAGAAGAGCUGAAGCUCUGGAGCUAGCUUUGGUGGAGAAAGAAUGAUGCGGGAUGUUGGACUAAGCGAGAAAUGCAUAAGAAGGUGAGUGGAAACAUAACAGUCAGUCCAGCUGUUUAAAGCACCUAUCACUCAGGACAGGACCGCAGACCAGAAGUGACAUGGGUCCCCAGGAGUUGUCGCCACUCACUGUGCCCAGGUUAGCUGGCACUAAAGGAAGCUCAUGGAAAAU
rnacentral:lncRNA from 1 species